GAACAUUGCCUCGCAACUGUACC
rnacentral:siRNA from 1 species